CGUAGUGACGGCGGCAUCAAUUUCUGAAUUAAUUACCAUUUGUCGCAAAAACUGCGCGUCCUUUACGUUUUCUAGACUCGAAAAUCUUUAAUUUGUGUUUAGGUUGUGAUAAAUUGUAAUCUAAAUGGCAUCUGAUGAUGAAGUAGAUGGAUCUUUUGCAGGCGACGAGGACGUGGAGGAAGGUGAGGGUCAGAAUGAUAACUCAGGGGAGAGUGAUGAAGCUCCACCCAAGGAGGAUGAUGACUAUUCCCCUGAAGAUGGCAGAAAGAAAAAGAAGGGGAAAAAAAGAAAAGCUAGAGGUGAAGAGAAAAAGGGCAGAAAGAAAAAGAAGAAGCGGAAGAAUGAAAGUGACGAAGAAGACGAAUUUGGACUGGCGGAAGUUGAAGCUGAGGGUGAUAGCGAUUAUGCAUUGAGUGCUGUUUCUUCAAGCAAGAAGUCACGCAAGGGUCGUGGAAGCAAACACAACACAUCCUCUUCCAUACCUUCCGACUCUGGAUCUGGUAUGCCCACCGUUGAAGAGGUGUGCACCUCAUUCGGGCUGACUGAUGUUGACAUUCAGUACUCUGAUGCAGAUCUAGAAAACUUGACAAGUUACAAGUUAUUUCAACAGCACGUUCGUCCGCUGAUUGUCAAGGAAAAUCCAAAGGUACCAGUGUCAAAGCUCAUGAUGUUAGUGGCGGCGAAGUGGCGUCUUUUCUGUGAAACUAAUCCUCACCUGGAAGGCGGAGGAAGUACGCAGAACCUGGGUUCCGAAGAAAACACUAAUACAUCAACAGCAUCUGAUUAUGCGCCAAAACGCACCGGGCGGAAUCCCAAAGAUUCAAAGGUUGACGACUCGAUCGACGAACCAGAAGAUGAAGAAGACGAAGGUAUAAGCGACGAGGGGACACCCGCACCGAGAAAGCGUGGCCGCAAGCCCAAACAUGCGGGCGGCACGCCCCGCGGCAAACCGGGCCGCAAGCCCAAAGUGCCCACGCUCAAGAUAAAGUUCAGCAAGCGCAAACGGACCAGUAGUGAGGAAGAGCAAGAAGGCAGCGCAGGAGCCAAUUCAGAUUCAGAUGCAGAGUUUGAGCAAAUGCUUGCAGAGGCAGAUGAGCCUAAAGCUGUCUCCAGCAAUGCUGAAGAGCCUGCCCCACCUAAGGAGGAAGAUCCUAAUGCACCUCAACAGCCAAAGAAGAAGGCCAAGACCAAAAUUGGUAACAAAACGAGGAAGAAGAAGAAGUUGAAGACCACUAACAAAUUCCCUGAUGGUGCGGAAGGAGAACCUGAACAUCAAGACUAUUGUGAAGUGUGUCAACAAGGAGGCGAGAUAAUACUCUGUGAUACAUGCCCUCGAGCAUAUCACUUAGUGUGCUUGGAGCCUGAGCUGGAAGAGACCCCCGAAGGUCGGUGGUCAUGCCCCCACUGCGAGGCUGAAGGCAAUCAGGACCAAGAUGAUGAUGAUGAGCAUCAGGAGUUUUGUAGGCUUUGCAAAGAUGGAGGAGAGUUACUUUGCUGUGAUUCAUGUCCCUCGGCUUACCAUCGAUUCUGUCUCAACCCACCAUUAGAUGAAGUGCCAGAUGGGGAAUGGAAAUGUCCUCGAUGUAGUUGUCCUCCCUUGGAUGGAAAAGUGUCAAAGAUCUUAACUUGGCGAUGGAGGGAGCCCUCCGCCAAGUCGAAAGCGCCACGUUCGAGGGAGUUCUUUGUCAAAUGGCACGAGCGGUCGUAUUGGCAUUGCAGUUGGAUCUCAGAGAUACAGUUGGACGUAUUCCACCCGCUGAUGUACCGCUACUACAUGCGCAAAUGGGACACUGAGGAACCGCCCAAACUCGAGGAGCCCCUCGAAGAGCGAGAAGGACUCAAAAGGCUUAAGAUCAGGCACGGCAGGGAACAACAGGACUCUGACGAGAAGAUGCUCGAGGAGAAAUAUUAUAGAUAUGGCGUUAAACCAGAGUGGCUGAUAGUGCACAGGGUGAUAAACCAUCGCACGUCUCGCGACGGCACUACUUAUUACUUGGUGAAGUGGCGCGAUUUGUCCUACGAUCAGGCCACAUGGGAGUCAGAGCACGCUGAUAUCGCCGGCCUCAAAAACACUAUUGACUAUUACCAGGAUAUGCGCGCUCACAUAACUUCGGAAGGCAAAACUAAGGGGAGUAAAGGCAAGAAACCUGGCCGCAAGAGUAAGAACAAGGACAACGUUGAUGACGACGAAAGCAGCAGUGGUCUGGUGGUCAAGAGUAGAAAGUAUAACGCACCGCCCGACCGCCCCGUCACCAAUCUCAAUAAGAAGUAUGAAGACCAACCAGCGUUCGUUUAUGAAACUGGAAUGCAGUUGCAUCCUUAUCAGUUGGAAGGUCUCAACUGGUUGCGAUACUCGUGGGGUAACGGAAUCGACACUAUCCUCGCUGACGAGAUGGGACUUGGUAAAACUAUUCAAACUGUAACAUUCCUGUAUUCGCUGUUCAAAGAAGGUCACUGUAAAGGCCCCUUUUUAGUUUCCGUACCACUCUCUACAAUUAUCAAUUGGGAGAGAGAAUUUGAACUGUGGGCUCCAGAUUUAUACUGCAUCACCUAUGUAGGUGACAAAGAUUCUAGAGCUGUGAUACGUGAAAACGAGCUCACGUUUGAUGAUGGUGCAAACAGAGGCGGAAGGCCUUCAAAGAUUAAAUCGCAAGUGAAGUUCAAUGUUCUUCUAACGUCGUAUGAACUUGUCUCUAUUGAUUCGACGUGCCUCGGUUCCAUCGACUGGGCCGUGCUUGUGGUUGACGAAGCUCACAGAUUGAAGAGCAACCAGUCAAAGUUCUUUAGGCUUCUAGCCGGGUAUAACAUCAACUAUAAACUGUUACUCACUGGAACUCCUUUACAAAAUAACCUCGAGGAAUUGUUCCAUCUUUUAAAUUUCUUGAACAAGGACAAGUUCUGCGACCUUGCCGCUUUCCAAAACGAAUUCGCUGACGUAUCAAAGGAGGAGCAAGUUAAAAGGUUACACGAAAUGUUGGGACCGCAUAUGCUGCGGCGUCUCAAAGCUGACGUGUUAAAGAACAUGCCCACAAAAUCGGAAUUCAUUGUACGUGUCGAACUAUCUCCAAUGCAGAAGAAAUAUUACAAGUAUAUCUUGACCAGAAACUACGAAGCUUUGAACCCAAAGGGUGGCGGACAAACUGUAUCUUUACUCAAUGUGAUGAUGGAUUUAAAGAAAUGUUGUAAUCAUCCAUAUUUGUUCUCCGUGGCGGCGGAGGAGGCCCCGCUCGGUCCCCACGGAAACUAUGACACACAGGCGUUGAUUAAAGCAUCAGGAAAGCUUGUUCUUAUGUCCAAGAUGUUGAGACAGCUGAAAGAACAAGGUCAUAGGGUUCUCAUCUUCUCUCAGAUGACAAAGAUGUUAGACAUUCUCGAAGAUUUCCUAGAGGGCGAGGGGUACAAGUAUGAAAGAAUUGAUGGUGGUAUUACAGGGACGAUUCGUCAGGAAGCUAUCGAUAGGUUCAAUGCUCCCGGCGCUCAGCAAUUCGUCUUCCUCUUGUCGACAAGGGCUGGUGGUCUGGGUAUUAACUUGGCUACAGCUGAUACAGUGAUAAUUUAUGACUCUGAUUGGAAUCCCCAUAAUGAUAUCCAGGCUUUUUCGCGAGCUCAUCGUAUCGGUCAGGCGAACAAAGUCAUGAUCUACCGAUUCGUAACUCGCAACAGUGUUGAAGAGCGAGUUACACAAGUUGCUAAAAGGAAAAUGAUGUUGACCCAUUUGGUUGUGCGCCCUGGUAUGGGUGGAAAAGGUGCCAACUUUACGAAGCAAGAGUUGGAUGAUAUUCUAAGAUUUGGUACAGAGGAGUUAUUUAAAGAGGAUGAGGGCAAAGAGGAAGCUAUUCACUAUGAUGACAAAGCCGUUGGAGACUUGCUCGAUCGUUCAAAGGAAGGUAUUGAACAGAAGGAAUCUUGGGCCAAUGAGUAUCUUAGUUCUUUCAAAGUCGCUAAUUAUUCGACCAAAGAAGGAGACAACGAAGAGGAGGUUGAUACUGAGAUUAUUAAACAAGAAGCGGAAAAUACUGACCCUGCUUACUGGAUCAAACUACUUAGGCAUCAUUAUGAACAGCACCAAGAAGAUCAGGCCAGAAGUCUCGGCAAAGGCAAAAGAGUUCGAAAACAAGUCAACUAUAAUGACGGUAGUGUUGCUCAAACUGAAAACAGAGAGGAUUCUACUUGGCAAGAAAAUGGAUCAGAUUACAAUUCAGAUUUCUCUCAUGGUAGUGAGGAUGAUAAAGAAGAUGACGAUUUCGAUGAAAAGAAUGAUAAUGGAGAUCUUCUUAGUCGCCGUAGUAAGAGACGUCUCGAGAGACGAGAAGAAAGGGAUAGGCCUCUGCCGCCUUUACUCGCACGAGUGGGUGGUAAUAUUGAGGUUCUCGGUUUCAAUGCCCGACAAAGAAAAUCAUUCCUUAACGCAAUCAUGCGGUAUGGUAUGCCACCACAAGACGCGUUCAAUUCACAAUGGCUUGUGAGAGAUCUCAGGGGAAAAUCUGAACGUAAUUUCAAAGCUUACGUAUCUCUAUUUAUGCGACACUUAUGUGAGCCUGGCGCAGAUAACGCCGAAACGUUUGCCGAUGGCGUCCCGCGAGAAGGUUUAUCUAGACAACAUGUCCUUACUAGAAUAGGUGUCAUGAGUCUCAUAAGGAAGAAGGUGCAAGAAUUCGAGCACAUUAAUGGGUACUAUAGUAUGCCUGAGUUAAUUCGUAAACCAGUGGAACCAGUGAAGAUUGCGGGUGGGGAAAGCGCCGCGCCUAGCCCGGCUCCUUCGUCAGCUACGCCCAUAACAUCAGCUGCCCCGUCGCCAGCGCCUACAACUGUGACCCCAGCCUCUGGCCAGGCGGCUACCCCUGGUGGCUCAGAAAAAGACGAAAAGGAAGAAACGAAAGAUGACAAAUCAGAUUCCAAGGACAGCAAAGACAAGGACGAACCAAUGGACACGAGUAUCGUCAAAGAGGAAAAAGAAAAACCUGAAGAAGUAGAACCUAUAAAAGAUGUAAGUAUUAAACAAGAAGUAAAAGAAGAGAGAAGAAUGUCGGUAGAUGAUGAACCACCAAAGGAAGAGGAAAAAUUAGAAGAAAGCAAGAGCGAGGAGAAAGAAGAAAAAGUAAUUAAGGAGGAGAAAGAGGAAGUCGAUAAAAAGGAGGAUGCUAAGAGUGAUAAGACAGAGUCAGAGGGUUCUGAUAAACCUAAAGACGAGAAAAAAGAUGAGGAUGAUGAUGACGUGGUACUCGUCAAGGAAGAGGAAGAUUUGAAGGUUGAGCGUCGCAAGUUCAUGUUCAAUAUCGCUGAUGGUGGCUUCACGGAAUUACAUACACUGUGGUUGAAUGAAGAAAGGGCCGCUGCGCCUGGUAGAGAGUAUGAAAUCUGGCACAGGCGGCAUGACUACUGGCUCCUCGCGGGUAUCGUGACACACGGCUACGGGCGCUGGCAGGACAUCCAGAACGACCUGCGCUUCGCGAUCAUCAACGAGCCCUUCAAGAUGGACGUUGGCAAGGGCAACUUCCUUGAGAUCAAGAACAAAUUUUUGGCGCGGCGAUUUAAGUUGCUAGAACAAGCGUUGGUGAUCGAGGAACAGCUCCGGCGGGCGGCGUACCUGAACUUAACACAGGAUCCGAACCACCCCGCGAUGUCUUUGAACGCUCGUUUCGCCGAGGUUGAAUGCCUCGCCGAGUCGCACCAGCACCUCAGCAAGGAGUCCCUGGCUGGCAAUAAGCCCGCUAACGCUGUGUUGCACAAGGUGCUGAACCAGUUGGAGGAGUUGCUAUCCGACAUGAAGUCGGACGUGUCGCGACUGCCGGCCACGCUGGCGCGUAUUCCGCCAGUGGCACAGCGCUUGCAGAUGUCGGAGCGGUCCAUUCUGUCACGUCUCGCCGCCACCGCCGGGAACCCCGUGCCUGCUGCUCAAAUGGCUACGUUCCCAGCUGGGUUCGGCGCGGGCGGUUCGCUGCCGGGCUUUUCUCCGGCCGCCGCGGCCGCUGCCAACUUCACUAACUUCCGCCCGCAGUACUCCGUGCCCGGACAACCCACCACGCCCAACUCUAACAAAUCGUAAGCACCCAUGGACAUUAUUAUAAAAUAGUGAAUGCAGUUGACAAGCACGCUGUGAUCAGUGAGCGGUUUCAGCAUCGCGCUUAGACGAAAUAUUUUAAGAUUUAAGCUUUCCAAGAUUCCUGUUCCACCUUGGGUUUGAAGUGAUAAAUAGUGAUUAGUGCAGUUAUGUUAGGUAACAUAAUAUUACGUCAUACUAGAGCAGAACUCUCACAAUAUUAUUUAUUUCAUCCUGAUCUGUAUGAAUCUUGUUUUUAAUGUCGUAAGUGAUUGUGGACUUAUGAAAUCUUUAUUUUUAAUUUACCAAAAAUGAAAAUAAAUCAUACAAUUACGUAAACAAAAA